AACACAGGUCUCUGCAAAACCGUAAGGUGACGUAUAGGGGCUGACGCCUGCCCGGUGCUGGAAGGUUAAGAGGAGUGCUUAGCUUCGGCGAAGGUACGAAUUGAAGCCCCAGUAAACGGCGGCCGUCACUAUAACGGUCCUAAGGUAGCGAAAUUCCUUGUCGGGUAAGUUCCGACCCGCACGAAAGGCGCAACGAUCUGGGCACUGUCUCAACGAGAGACUCGGUGAAAUUAU
rnacentral:rRNA from 1 species